rnacentral:misc_RNA from 1 species
UCAAACUUGGUCAUUUAGAGGAAGUAAAAGUCGUAACAAGGUUUCCGUAGGUGAACCUGCGGAAGGAUCAUUAACAAAUUCGGCGCGAUCUUUUUUUCGCGCAUGUAUUUAAAACCCAACACUUUUUGAAUCAUAUUUUACAAAAAUUUUUUUUUAUAUAUAAUAAUAAAAAAAAAAAGAUCACUUUCAACAACGGAUCUCUUGGCUCUCAGAUGUGUAUAAGAGACAGUCAAACUUGGUCAUUUAGAGGAAGUAAAAGUCGUAACAAGGUUUCCGUAGGUGAACCUGCGGAAGGAUCAUUAACAAAUUCGGCGCGAUCUUUUUUUCGCGCAUGUAUUUAAAACCCAACACUUUUUGAAUCAUAUUUUACAAAAAUUUUUUUUUAUAUAUAAUAAUAAAAAAAAAAAGAUCACUUUCAACAACGGAUCUCUUGGCUCUCGCAUCGAUGAAGAACGCAGC